UCCGAGUUGACCCCGGCAGUCUCCUAUGAGUCCCCGGCAUUAUCCGCUGGCAACAUAGGACGAGGGUUGCGCUCGUUGCGGGACUUAACCCAACAUCUCACGACACGAGCUGACGACAGCCAUGCAGCACCUGUGUUCCAGGCUCCGAAGAGAAGGUCACAUCUCUGCGAGGUUCCUGGCAUGUCAAGGGUAGGUAAGGUUUUUCGCGUUGCAUCGAAUUAAUCCACAUAAUCCACCGCUUGUGCGGGUCCCCGUCAAUUCCUUUGAGUUUUAACCUUGCGGCCGUACUCCCCAGGCGGUCAACUUCACGCGUUAGCUUCGUUACCAAGGAAUUGCUUCCCCGACAACCAGUUGACAUAGUUUAGGGCGUGGACUAC
rnacentral:misc_RNA from 1 species